rnacentral:sRNA from 1 species
UAGUAAGUGAUGCAGUGCCAGCGCAGG